ACCUACGGGGGGCAGCAGUGGGGAAUAUUGCACAAUGGGGGGAACCCUGAUGCAGCGACGCCGCGUGAGUGAAGAAGUAUUUCGGUAUGUAAAGCUCUAUCAGCAGGGAAGAUAAUGACGGUACCUGACUAAGAAGCCCCGGCUAACUACGUGCCAGCAGCCGCGGUAAUACGUAGGGGGCAAGCGUUAUCCGGAUUUACUGGGUGUAAAGGGUGCGUAGGUGGCAGGGCAAGUCAGAUGUGAAAGCCCGGGGCCCAACCCCGGUACUGCAUUUGAAACUGUUUUUCUUGAGUACUGGAGAGGCA
rnacentral:rRNA from 1 species